rnacentral:tRNA from 1 species
CACUAAGAAGCUAUUGGUUAGCGCUAGUCUUUUAAGCUAGAGUAGGGGGACCAAAAACUUCCCUAACCCCCCAUAGUGA